rnacentral:rRNA from 1 species
GCUUAACCGGAGAAGUGCAUCGGAAACUGAUAAACUUGAGUACAGAAAAGGAUAGUGGAACUUCAUGUGUAGCGGUGAAAUGCGUAGAUAUAUGAAGGAACACCAGUGGCGAAGGCGGCUAUCUGGUCUGUAACUGACGCUGAGGCUCGAAAGCAUGGGUAGCAAACAGGAUUAGAUACCCUGGUAGUCCAUGCCGUAAACGAUGAAUGCUAGGUGUUGGAAGGUUUCCGCCUUUCAGUGCCGCAGCUAACGCAUUAAGCAUUCCGCCUGGGGAGUACGACCGCAAGGUUGAAACUCAAAGGAAUUGACGGGGACCCGCACAAGCGGUGGAGCAUGUGGUUUAAUUCGAUGCUACGCGAAGAACCUUACCAGGACUUGACAUCUUCUGCCAAUCUAAGAGAUUAGACGUUCCCUUCGGGGACAGAAUGACAGGUGGUGCAUGGUUGUCGUCAGCUCGAGUCGUGAGAUGUUGGGUUAAGUCCCGCAACGAGCGCAACCCUUGUCUUUAGUUGCCAGCAUUAAGUUGGGCACUCUAGAGAGACUGCCGGUGAUAAACCGGAGGAAGGUGGGGAUGACGUCAAAUCAUCAUGCCCCUUAUGUCCUGGGCUACACACGUGCUACAAUGGGCGAUACAACG